rnacentral:sRNA from 1 species
GACGGAGAAAAAGAAGUAAGGUCCGUG